rnacentral:rRNA from 1 species
CCUACGGGUGGCUGCAGUGGGGAAUAUUGCUCAAUGGGGGUAACCCUGAUGCAGCGACGCCGCGUGAGUGAAGAAGUACUUCGUUACGUAAAGCUCUAUCUGCAGGGAAGAAAGAGAAAUUUCAUGGUACCUGAAGAAUAAGCUCCGGCUAACGACGUGCCAGCAGCCGCGGUAAUACGGAGGGAGCGAUCGUUAUCAGGAAGUAUUGGGCGUAAAGGGUGGGUAGAAGGCAUAGUAAGUCUUUUGUAAAAAGGCGGGGCUCAACCCAGAAGGGCAAAAGAUACUGCAAAGCUAGAGUAUGAGAGAGGAAAGUGGAACUACAUGUGUAGCGGUGAAAUGCAUAAAUAUAAGUAAGAACACCAGUGGCGAAGGCGGCUUGCUGGGGCGAAACUGACACUGAGGCACGAAAGCGUGGGGAGCAAACAGGAUUAGAUACCCUAGUAGUC